UAAAUGAAGGUCAUGUUUUCUGUGUUCUAGGGACAGAGAAAAGAAAACAAAUGAACUAUGAAACAAAAUUUGUUUGCCAUUCGGUAGGUUUUGACCAAUUGCCUUUUCUCAUUUCCAGAAUCUUUGAAUACUGCUCUAACCACCCCAACAGCUUCCAUCUCCGCUGCCGAGACUUCCACACCAGAGAUAUCUUCAACCUCAGCGGAAGGGACCUCUCCAUCUGGUAAGGUCUCUCUCGUGGUACUGUUUAAGUUAGUGAGACUAGCUUCUUGUAUGUCAUGUUCUAUUCAGAAAAUGAGCCUCAGUAAUGAUCAUUUUUACUGCAAAGUUAAUCUCAUUGAAAAGACACAGCCGGCCUUUUCCACUCAUGUUUGUGUCCUGCUCUCUUUGUUAAUGCACAGAUGCAUCUUCAACUUCAGCAGAAGUGGACACACCCUCUGGUAAUGAUUUCUGCCUGCCGCAUUUCUAAAUUUCAAUAUGAUCAACUUUUUUUUUCUCUUUCUCUGUGGCAAAUGAGGAUAUAUAGGUACUGGCUGUUCUGUCUAUGGUAUGAGCCUCAAUGUAAACAGAAACUCCAGCAUCCUUUUCACAGAAACUGAUGUUCAUGUUCUCUUCAUUCUUCCAUAGACACAGAAGGGGCCCCUCCACCAGGGCACGCCUUCUGCUUGCUGCACUGGUGUUGAUCAGAUGUGCCCACGGGAGGCCAGGGCUGGGGGUCCACCCUCUCCUGCUUGGCUAUGUGUGUCAGGUUUCAGGUGAUGCUCUGACCCAGCCAGCACACCUGAACACACAGGUGAAAACACUGGGUUGUGAUAGGGUUAGUUCUAUCCAUCUGCUCUUCUGUUUUCCACUGUGUAGUUGGUCAAACCAAAACAUUCCUCUGCAUUUGCAGAUAUGACUUCCGCUGCAGCUGAAGUAUCUUCUUCACCCGGUAUGCUCCCUGCUCCUUGCAGCAGCCCUGAUGAGUGACUUUCUGAGAAUGCUCAGCCCAGCAAGAGUUUACACACCCAGAAUAAACACUUCUGUUUCCCCAGGCGAGGUCAGGGGAGGAGAGGAGAGGUCAGGGGAGAAGAGAGGAGAGGUCAGCAGAGUCCACUCAACUCCCCAGAGGAUUCCAGGACACGCCUCUAUUGCUAGUCAUGAAACUGAAUGCAGUGUAGAUGGAUGCUGGGGAGAGGAUACAUAGGGUAAAAUAGCUUAAAAUGUCAAGACUAAGAGAUGGUCUAGAGUAGGGAUUCCCAAAUGUGCAUACGUGUAUGAGCCUUAUGUGGAACUUGUGAAAUGCAAAUUCAGUGGCUCCAGGUGGAGCUUUUCUAAGGCUCCCAGGUGAUGCCACUGCUGCUGGUCAUGGACCUGGUUGGGGAGUAAGAUGUUGAACCACCACCCUCAUUUUGGAGGAAAAUGAGGCCUAAAGAAGGAAGAGAUCUGCCUAAAGUCACAGAGCGAGGGUGAGGCAGAGCCAGUUGUCCUGACUCCUGUCCAAAGUCCUUUCUGCUCUUACGCUCUGCUGAUGAACCCAUCUCUGUGAUUCUCCCAAAUUCCUAUGAUAUUGACAUCUUCAGUAACAAGGCUCUGCUGCUUUCUUCUAUUUUAUUUAUUUUCUUCUUUUUUUAAUUUUUUUACUUCAAGUCUUGGGUACUUUGA